rnacentral:rRNA from 1 species
UUUGAACCGCAUGGUUCAGACAUAAAAGGUGGCUUYGGCUACCACUUACAGAUGGACCCGCGGCGCAUUAGCUAGUUGGUGAGGUAACGGCUCACCAAGGCGACGAUGCGUAGCCGACCUGAGAGGGUGAUCGGCCACACUGGGACUGAGACACGGCCCAGACUCCUACGGGAGGCAGCAGUAGGGAAUCUUCCGCAAUGGACGAAAGUCUGACGGAGCAACGCCGCGUGAGUGAUGAAGGUUUUCGGAUCGUAAAGCUCUGUUGUUAGGGAAGAACAAGUGCCGUUCAAAUAGGGCGGCACCUUGACGGUACCUAACCAGAAAGCCACGGCUAACUACGUGCCAGCAGCCGCGGUAAUACGUAGGUGGCAAGCGUUGUCCGGAAUUAUUGGGCGUAAAGGGCUCGCAGGCGGUUUCUUAAGUCUGAUGUGAAAGCCCCCGGCUCAACCGGGGAGGGUCAUUGGAAACUGGGGAACUUGAGUGCAGAAGAGGAGAGUGGAAUUCCACGUGUAGCGGUGAAAUGCGUAGAGAUGUGGAGGAACACCAGUGGCGAAGGCGACUCUCUGGUCUGUAACUGACGCUGAGGAGCGAAAGCGUGGGGAGCGAACAGGAUUAGAUACCCUGGUAGUCCACGCCGUAAACGAUGAGUGCUAAGUGUUAGGGGGUUUCCGCCCCUUAGUGCUGCAGCUAACGCAUUAAG